rnacentral:rRNA from 1 species
GACGAACGCUGGCGGCGUGCUUAACACAUGCAAGUCGAACGGAAAGGCCCUGCUUUUGUGGGGUGCUCGAGUGGCGAACGGGUGAGUAACACGUGAGUAACCUGCCCUUGACUUUGGGAUAACUUCAGGAAACUGGGGCUAAUACCGGAUAGGAGCUCCUGCUGCAUGGUGGGGGUUGGAAAGUUUCGGCGGUUGGGGAUGGACUCGCGGCUUAUCAGCUUGUUGGUGGGGUAGUGGCUUACCAAGGCUUUGACGGGUAGCCGGCCUGAGAGGGUGACCGGCGGCAUGGGGGGGGAGGAGCGGCCAAGACGCGACGGGGGGGGAGCGGGGGGGAUUAGGGACGAUGGGGGGGGGGCGGGAUGCGGCAACGCGGUGUGCGGAAUGGGGGGCGUGGGGUUGAAAACCGCUUGCGCCUGUGAAGAAGGGGGAGGGAGGGUAAUGGAUAAGAAAGCACGGGCUAACUACGUG